GGGGCGCGGAGGCCCGCGUUGCCUGGACGCAGUUGCCAGGCACCGGAGCCUAGGCAUCCCCGCCCGCCCGCCGCGCCUCCCCCCACUGCGCGCUGCGCCCGAAAUAGCCGCUCGGCGUGGCUGCCCGGGUCCACCGCUGGGCGGGGGGCUGCACUGCGCUCGGGAGGAGGAGAGCCCGGGGCUGCAAAGGGAGGCUCCGCUGAGCCCCGGCAUCCCGCUCUUACGAAACCUCCUGCCCACAGAGACAGUGCCCCGCCCUUCCCGCCCGGAGCUAGGGAGGAGCGCGCGCGGGCGCACGCCCCACCUGUGCAGACACAAAGGAAGACGAGGGGGAAGGCGCGCGCGAGACUCUCUCUCGGAGCCUGCGGCUUGGCGACACUCAUCAGGGGGACCUGUGUGGACACACCGCAAAGUACCUGCCGCUGGCGCUGAGCGGCCGGCCGGCUCUGCGCCCUGGAACGUGGACCUGGACCCCACAGCAACCCGUGCGCCCUGGAAAAGCUCCGAGACUACUGCUGUCCUCCUCGCCGUUUAUCUGCUGAAGUCUGUGUCAUCGUGAUGACUGUGUUACUCGACUUCCCUGGGACUUUCUGCCACUUCAGAUAGAUGUGAAGCAGAAGCAAUUUGCCACCGUUUCUGAAAGGACACAGGUGUCACCAGGAACACCUGUCCGAACCAGGGGUGUAUUCUCUUAUCCCCAGCAGGCUCCCCACUAGGAUAGGGUCAGCCGAGCUUUGUAUCCCUUCAUGUGGUGCACCACCUGGACCGGAGACUUCUGGGGGUCUUCAGAUCGUGACGUGGGUAUUUCAUCUGCUGCAAGAUUCCCACAGCUCAGGGGAGAAAAGCUGAGGGGCCCUGGUCACGUGGACACAACCUCUGUUAAUUUCCUUUUUACGAUUUAUGCUGAUUUGGAUAGGGAGACAGCUCGGUAGCCAAGUUCCUGCUUAGCAUGCAUAAGGCCCCAAGUUCAAUUCCCAGUGCUAAAAGAAGAAAAUAAGCGCCAAGUAACAUAAACAGAACACCAGCAUUGUUGCAAAUCCACUCACAACGAGAAAAUGUAGCUACAGUUCUUUAAACACAGGAGUCCUGCAGCAGCAAGGGAGACUCAAAAUCAAGCCUCCGACAUCCCACUUCUGACCAACUUCUUUCUCUCUUUCCAAGCAAUUUGUUCAGAAUUCUAAGAGAGUUGACAGUGAAUGCACAGGGGUGUAAGCUUGCCCUAAUUUCUUUCCCACCUUUUUCUAUUCCUGUAAGAUACAUUGCAAUCGAGUAUCCAUUUCUCCAGAAUUAUUUGUAUUGGAGCUCAUUAUGAGAAAUAGAUUUCUCUCUCUCUCUCUCUCUCUCUCUCUCUCUCUCUCUCUCUCUCUCUCAUUAAACAAUCCAUAAUUGCCAAUUACUUUAUGCUGGUAGUUUGCUAAACGGGAUUCAUCAAAAAGAGUAAGUACAAACUUGCAGGCAGGAACGUUACUCACCAACCAGCGGUUAAAUGUAAAUAAUUUGCGCAAUGUACACGCUGAGCCAGUGGUGGCGAACCUUGGCGCUUGUGCCGCAGGGGGCGCUCUUUCUCAGGUCGAAUCGCAGGGUUGGCUCUUCGCAAUCUGUAAGUGGGUUUUGGGUUGCAGUUUGGACACUCAUCUCUCAAAAGCUCAGACACUGGCACAGACAUUGUCAAGUUUCUGGUUCUUCGUUUUGUUUUUAAUUUAUCGCGUGGCUGGGCCCUGGUCCUGUGUCUGCGUGCCCAAAUCCUGAAGAUGAAACGUCCAGGUCAGUUCUGGAAGCUUUAUGGCUUUAAGGAAGUCUCCAGUCUCACCUGCCCUACUUUGGUCUAAGAUGAUUAAUACUGAAACAGGGGCGUGUAGAUGUCACGGGACACUAGCUCUCCAUCACCAGAGAUCUGCUGGGGCGCCCCAGCCCACGCAAGGACAGGUAACCAUGCGUUUGGCAGAUCCCUAAAAACGAAUACUACGUUUUCAGUGGAGAUACUUAUUUUAAGUGUAAAUAAAAGUUUUUAAAUAUUCACAUUAAUAAAUGUGAAAACAAUAAAGGAAGGGGAAAGGAGUGUACAGGACAGGUAUGAGGCCUGCAAGCAGGGCCCCCUCGGUGAAGUUGAGGGUCCUGCGUGGGCGAAAACUUCCGUAAAACGGAGAGGCCCGGAAGGGGCUUCGUCAUCUGGUCCUGUCCUCAGCUGUCCCCCGCGGGCGUGGGGCGCCCGCUCUGUCUGGAGGGUAUGUUCACCCAGAUAUCGAGGUGCCAAAGAAUGAACAUGGUCACAGGGAGGGACCCGAAAGAGGAGGAGGAGGGGACCCCAAGGGGCGUAAGGAGGACGCAGAGUCGGGGCUCACAUCCGAGGAUGCUGGGGAAAGGUCUCUAGGACGGACGUUUGCAGCUGAUCUGGGGACCUGAAAGUCACUGGGGGCGUCUAAUGAGUAUUUUUCCGUCAUCAGAUGGCUGUGGGCUUGAAAUGUCAGCUGGGGGAGACAGGCUUGUCUCUCUUUAGAGAAUUUCUCGGUUAUGGUGAAGGCCACAGGCGGCACCCGCAGACUCAGCACAAGCGGCCUUCAAGGUAGGGAGUAAUGGUCUUCGCCUUUAUGUCUACUGCUGGGGAGAACGGGAAGCCUCUUACAUUGUUGUGCUUGGCAUCGUGGCACAUGCCUGUCAUCCCAGCACUCUGGAGGCUGAGGCAGGAGGAUCCUUGUGAGUUCGAGACCAGCCUGGGUUACAAAGUGAACUCAAGACCAGACUGAACUGCAUAGCGAGACCCUGUCUCAAAAACAAAGCAAAACAAACAAAUAAAAAACAUUAUUGCUUACCGACUGACAAUCUGAACUCUACCAUUCAUUUCAUUAUCACCAUAUCUGUUUCCUUUUUUAAAUGUUUCAUUGUUUAGGAGAAAUUUGAUAUUGAGCUAAGGCAGGGCUCAGGCUUUGGGAACGCUACUCUCUUCACAAACUAAAAAUCUGUAUCAACAACCAGCUAGCGCACAUAUUAUUCUUCAUGGCUCUCUUUGGUUUUGUUGAUAUUAGUAACAUAAUUAAAGAAAUACUUUUCUCCUCUUCUGUGGAAACAUAA